CCUACGGGAGGCUGCAGUCGAGAAUCAUUCACAAUGGGGGAAACCCUGAUGGUGCGACGCCGCGUGGGGGAAUGAAGGUCUUCGGAUUGUAAACCCCUGUCAUGUGGGAGCAAAUUAAAAAGAUAGUACCACAAGAGGAAGAGACGGCUAACUCUGUGCCAGCAGCCGCGGUAAUACAGAGGUCUCAAGCGUUGUUCGGAAUCACUGGGCGUAAAGCGUGCGUAGGCUGUUUCGUAAGUCGUGUGUGAAAGGCGCGGGCUCAACCCGCGGACGGCACAUGAUACUGCGAGACGAGAGUAAGGGAGGGGGAACCGGAAUUCGCGGUGUAGCAGUGAAAUGCGUAGAUAUCGAGAGGAACACUCGUGGCGAAGGCGGGUUCCUGGACAUUAACUGACGCUGAGGCACGAAGGCCAGGGGAGCGAAAGGGAUUAGAUACCCCUGUAGUC
rnacentral:rRNA from 1 species